rnacentral:lncRNA from 1 species
CCUCCCCUUUUCUCUUCUCUUGGGCGUUUUGCAUGCCAUUCCCUUGGGACGCGUGUCCCAAGGUGUUUCAUGUCAAAAGAAGUUUGGGUGCCUCUUUCUUGCUGGUUUCUAAUAUCUGGUAGCAUCAUAUAGUAAAAAGAAACUUUAGAAAAGAGGAGAAGAAGAUCAAAGAGAAAAGAUCAAGUGUUGAUCAUGAUCUAGGUUUCGUUCAGAUUUAGCAGGCUG